rnacentral:misc_RNA from 1 species
CCCAACCUCGAUCUUUCGAGUAGCAGCGGAUGGAAAAACGAAAAAAAUACAGACGCACGUAUAGCGGCCUGCUGUAGCUCUCAUUUCACAGCUUGUUACUGUCGCUAUCUUCCCUACGAAGUAAAACAGAACGUAAAGCCGUGGCGCGCGAAGGCUUGAUGCGCGCUGGUUCAUCUUGAGCAAAACAAGCAUCCGUGGCCCGAGGGGGCCACCCUCUCCCUUCCCCCACCCGCGCUAUCAACCGCCAGCAAAGCGCCGUCGAUGUGUAUAGUUUUCUUUGGCGCUGUCCUCGUGAACACGGCGCUGGCCACUGCCCACAUCAUCCCGCAUGUGCGCAAUCGGGCCACCCUGCCCCCACGCCAACGCCUUCCUCUAUCCGCACCCUCGGCCCCGCCCGCCGCAGAGCCCUUAUCUCAAUCGAAAGCAAAAAAAAGGAGAGACACAAGAACGCUGUUGUAAUGUCGUCGCUGAACGCUUUACUUUAUGUAGAUCGAACCGCGAUGACGGGUGGUAACCUGCGCCGCUUCUUGAUGCAUUCGUCGAGAUGAGAAAAGCGAUAGCAUGCGUGCCCUGUUUUCAAACAGAGCACGUAUGCUACAGCGCAGAAGUAGGGAACUGACGAACUCGGAGCGCACCGCUGAGCAGUGGCUCUCUGUCACGUUCCAAAAUGGUGCACGGAAUGGCGAAAAAGUGAUGACUCCGCGAAGUGUAAACGCGCAGGUGGAGGAAAAAAAAAACGUUAACAACGGAGCGGUGCUAGCGCUGCAAGAAUGGCAGAAUAGCUGCUGGCCCUCUCUAUCUAUCAGGAGGGGGUCGUUUCUACUGAUUUAUUCAGCGCCUCUGGGUGUUUGUGUGUGUGUGUGUGUUCUCGUGCUUGUCAGCCUCCGCUUGCUGGCUUGCAGUUUGGCAUUGUCCGUUUGUCAGCUGUGUGGGUGUGCGUUUCCGUGCUGCUGCCGCUGUCGCCGAUUCUGUGGCGUGGAGGAGGCUUCUCUCCAUCGCCAUGCAUAGAGCCCACGCUGGCGGCCUUUCGGAGAUCUACCACGCGGAAACCAUAUGGAUUCUGAUCCUUGCGCUGGGCGAUCCGUAACUUUAUGCGUUCUGCAGCUUUUGUUGGGCGUGGUUCUUCUUUCUUUUGCAUCCACCCAACCCUCUUCGGAUAGCUCUCGCGAAGCAGUCAUCACUAAACAGAAGCGUAUGUUCUUUUUAGCACACGCACACGAUUUGUAGAGAGAUGUAUUUCUCUUUUCUCUGCCGUCGCAUCAUACCCUCGCAUCUCCCCCCCUCCCUCCGUCCCUCCCUCAGUCUCAUUCCUUGUUGGUUUGCUUUUUGUGCGCUGUUUGUGAUUCUCCUGGCUCUCUACUCCUCUCUCUUAUCUUGUUUCUAUUUAUGAUCCCCCCGCGCGCACACGCAUGCACACUAAGCGCCCAAGUUGGUGCAUGAGUGAGUGUGACUGACGGUGCGCCUUUGUGUUUAUGUGCACGGGCGUUCCCCUAUGUAGCUGGGUGUCCCGUGAGGGGUAACAAUAACCCAGUGCAACCACAUCACAUCAUCUCUGUUCGGUUACUGUCGCCCAUCGCAACUACUUUGCCAUUUUCCCCCUUUUCGCCUUUUCUACUCCGUUUGACUCUAUCGCCAAUCCACGUAGAGAAGUGGAAGGAAGAGACAAACAAGAAAGGGAGUCCGCAGCAAGAGAGGGGCCGCCGAAGGAACGGUGCAGAGCUCUCACGACACGUUGCUCCAUGCUUGCGACACGAUACCAUCUGAAAACUGCAUAAAGCAGCCAGUGAGCAGCUUUCCUGCGCGUAUUCUCCUCACUCUUGUUCUGCUACCAACCUUGUCUUUUCACUUUUUUUUGCUGGUGUUUUUCGAAUCAUUGCUUCGCAUUGCUGACGCUCUUUUGUUGUUGUUCCGAUCCGCCGUGUACCUCCGCCCCCUCCCUCUCUUCGCAUACGCGAGAAGGAAGCAUGUAUCUGGAUUUGUGGCGACGUGGCGAAUGUGAACCGGUGCGCGCGCGCCUGUGACGCGUUGCCUAUGCGGAUACAUGCCGAAGCCGAAGAGGCCGCGGCACCAAACAACAAGAAACCACUACAAACUCCCUCCGAGUUCUUUGACCAAUGCGGCUGUUUGGGUCCUCUGUGUCUGGAAUGUGUGCGUCUGUGUAUGUGCUCUCUCUCGGACCGCGUCGCACUGAGCACGAGAGGAACCCCGCGGAUGUCAAGCCUGCACUCAUGCCCUCUUUCCCUCCUCCGUUCUUUCCUUUGUAGCUUCUCCCUUCGGCCUUCCAUAUCUGCGCCUCGCUUGUGUUGGUGAGCGUGUGUCAGUGCAUGUGUGUGUUUGUGUGCAUCGCACCUGGAAGCGCAACAAAAAAACUCCUGUUCCUCUGUAUCUUUCUUUUUGUUGCUUGUUUCCCUGUGUGCUUCUUUGCGAUUGUGGUGGAUGUCGCAGCGUGUGCUUCUCCUGUCAAGUGGCUCGCAAUGGCUUCAGGCAUCCGCACAGAACCUCCCGUCGCUUCAUUGUCUCUGUCUUUUUUUUUUCUUUCUGUGUCCUCGUUUCUUUCUUUUUCCUCACCGUGAGGGUUCCCGUAGAAGAGGUCCGCGCCUUUGCAGUGCCCCUCUCGUGUCUCGACGUCAUGCGGAUCUCUUUGCGCCACUCCCUCAGCCGUCUUUCAUCUUCAACCUUUUGCCCCUUGCAUAUGCAGGUGCGUGUGUUCGCAUACAGUCAUAUGUUUGCUUGUCUUCUUGGUUCAGCGCGUGGCGGUGGAUUUCCCCCUCUCUCUUUUCACAGCACAGAUUCAGGGAAACGAGAAAACGUCAAGCAACGACUAUAAGCGAGCAGCUGCUCCGGCGGGCAUUCAGUGUCGUUGGGCUUCUCCGUUUUGUUUUUGCGCUCCCUUGCGAGACAUCGCGCACACCUCGAUGCGUCGUGAUGCUACGUGAGGCACCAACGUUGACAUUCAUUUUUUUUGUUGUUGCUUUUCGCUGCUUUCCUACCUCAUGGGCUUGUGUAUUGACGGGGCCUCUCUCCACCUGCUGUGUGUGCGAGUCGGCGACUACCAGUCGCCUCCCUCUUUACUCUCUACACCACACCACUGGUCUAGCACCGUACGAGGGUGGGCGUGAGGGCCUGUGCCUGGAUGCACGUGCCCUAGUGCGGAUGCUGGUCUCGUCUCUCUCUCUCGCUGCCGAAUACAUCUCCCCCAUGUCUCCACUCACACUCGUCCUUUGGGUCGACGACGUUACUCUUCGCGUGGCUUCUACGCACUUCUUUGAUCCCACCCCAUUCCCCGCCUUUCACCUUUUUCAUGGGUAUGUGCGCAUGCGAGUGUGCGUUGUUGCUGUCCUCCCCCCCCUUCGUUUGCGUGUUGUGUCCUUCUCCAUUAAUGGGUUCCUCUGCGCGUUGUUGCUGUUACGCGCUUUCUUUUACACAUCUUGCUCUUCGUUCUCUGUUUCAUGUGUCCACCCACGGGUGUGUACGCGAUGAGCGGGUAUGAGUUGGCGUGGUAUAGGAAGCGUACUGCGAACACUUUCGUGCCUUCGUUCCUCUCUCCCUCUGUUCCUACCGCCCGCGUGGACGCGCUUGGUUACACUGGAGCACAACAACAAUUCCGCUAUUCCGCUUCCUCGCUGUGGCUCUCCCGCACUCCGUCCCCCCUCACUCCAUCCCAUUCACUUGCGCGCACCCGCGUGGCUGCGUUUCAGCCCUGAGUUGAAGCGCACGCGUGAGUGGAGAACCGCACUCGCUGCGAAGUACGAUAGGAUAAUUGGAAAGCGCCUCUGUAGUCUCCGCGAUAUCGUGCGAGGUGAGGGAGGGAGAGGAAAAGUGUGCCGCAUAGCUUGUGCAAGGCCACGCAACCGGCUGUCAACGGCCGUGUGUUAUUCGCCAUGUCUUCUUUUCGUUUCUGUUUCACUUGCUGUUUGUGUAUAAUGGCUUUGUUGGGGGGAGGGGGGGGAUGCGCUACGCGCUCGGUGAGAAGACGCGGGAAAUAGCAAUGAGUUUCGCUGACACUCCGGCCGCAACGCGCUCCCUGUCGUCUUCCUAAUUUUUUUCGGUCUCCUUCUCCCCCCUCCAUCUUUUACUGGAAAAAAAAAAACAGCCACUC